ensembl:lncRNA
GAGAGAUAAAGCAUCUCAGAUUGCUUGGGAAUGCCUCGAUAUCAUCCUGGAAAAGCUGAAAGCUGCUUUUAAUACUUCAAAGCACACUUGACAUUCCAGUGAUUUAUAUACUGCAGAAUGAUGGUAAUGAAACAGAAGGUCAAGUGAAAACAUUUAAUCUGUUACUCAAGGAAAUAACAGCAACUGCUAGUUUUUCCUUUUUAAACCUUUGUAGCUCUGCUUUAUAUUCAGUCUGCUGUUCACUCGUCUUUUAUCCUCCCUUAGCUAAUCCGCUCUUCACAUGGCUGACAUUAUCGCUCUUCUCUCCGUCUUGGAUGUGAUGCUACUUGAUCCAGCUACCUGCUGUCUCGCUCUCUCCUCAUCUAUAAAGCUGUACGGUGUUUGUUGUUUGCUCCUGUGCUGCUCAAACAGCCAAGGUCACACAGUGAUAACUUUGUUCAAAGGUCACAGGAAAUGAUUAUCAUAUGGGCUUCCCAUGGUUUAGAAAUGUUUUUUUUCUUCAAUUUUUCUGCCUUCAGCAGGAGCGAUGUUAGUGCCUUCUCUCGUGUGGUUUCCUCUUGUGCUGCUGGGCUCUUUGGGAUGGUUUAUUUUUUUCUUCUGUGUUUAUCAGCAGUUGCAAUAAGGAGACUGAAAAGAGAAUGUUUUAGGAACUGGCUCACUUGGUUUCUAAUGGGUUUUAGUCACGAAAUGAUCUGUAACGAUGCUGAGUGUAUUUGUUUCUUUAAUGAUAAGGGAUAUGAUGCAAUGAUAUGACAAUAUUAUUCAUCACGUAUCGUGGUAUUUUCUCACACUAGUUGACCAAAUAGAGCUAUUUCCAGUGGAUUUCCAGAAAACAGUGAAAUGAACGACUUGUACAGUGCGUAAGCCUCAAGAGAACAUCGUGUCUCUUAGGAAUAUCCACAGCUUUCUUUAAAUAAAAAAUCAAAAACACUGACCUCUCAUGAUGAUUAAUAAAUUGCAAAUCAAUGACUAAGUACUUGCUUUCUUAAGAAAAUGUGGACAAAAAUAUCUGAAUGAGGCAGUUUUUUUCUGUUGUGAUUUCAAAAAAAGCUGUGACUCCGUGUACAAAGUGAUCAUUUCCAAAUCCCGU